GUUUAAGGGUACUUGGAGAAAUUCUAGUCCGUUUCUUUUCAAAAAUUACGUUCAUGACUAGGCGGCACAAGGUAUCGCAUUUUCAGUUUUUCACAUACUUAUUCAUUGAUGUAUUAUAAUAGUCAUUUGAGAUGCAUCAUGCCUUAAUAAAAAUAGCAUUUAAGAAUCUUGAACUCAAAAUUAAAGAACAUAGCCCAUUUGGGCGUCGGUCUGCCGGAUCCUACGAAAGGUUAGAGGCAUUAGUGUUGACAGUUGGGAAACUCAAGAGGCGGGGAGGAGACAGACAGGUUGAGGAAUUCAUCAAGUUCACCGCCAUUCGACAGCUCUUGUAAGUUCGAACCAUGAGUGGUGAAGUUCUACAGGAGAAUGUUGGUACCACCAGAUCAACUUGGUGGACAAGUCCUGAAUGUAAUCUGUUCGACGAAUUGCCUGAAAAAGAACCAACCUUUCAGUUACACGUCUUAAAAGUCCGUCUCGCUGUGGAACAAGAGGCUACGCGAUUGUUUCGAUGGCGGCCGGCUGAAAGAAGCGUGCCAGCUGUUCGACGACAUGCCGGAAAGGGAUAAGGCAUCCUGGGGAACGGUGAUCUUCGGAUACGGUAGAAACUGGCGUCCAUCGAUUUAUUCGAAGAAAUGCCUCACAGGAAGCAUGUCGCUUGGAAUUCGAUGCUCUUGGCAUAUGUGAGUUCGAACCAACUUCAGCCUGCCCGUCACUUGUUCGGGGGAAUGCCUCAAAGAAACUCGACCUUGUACUUGAUCAUGAUCAAUCGCUUGUCUCGAGGUUGGUCUGCGUCAGAUGCACUCAACAUGUUCAAUUCAAUGCCUUGCACUGUUCGGAACGUGGUCUUAAUGAUCGAUGGACUGGCACAUAAUGGUGAUAAUCUCAUUGCAUUAAAGCUUUUCUCGUUCUUACACUCCAGCAUGUGAGAUGACAGGGUGACGCCUAGUGGCUUCACUGUAAUGAAGUCAUGUGUGGAGUUGAAAUCCAUUGCGUAUAGUGCAGAUUCACGCAUUGAAAGUAAAGCCCAACUGUGGCGAGGGUGAGGAAUCUGAUUAUAUUUAUAACUCGCUUAUGAAUAUGUAUGGUAAAUGUAGAGAUCUUGGUCAGACGGAGAAUAUAUUUCACAGGUGACCACCUGUAUCUCGUCCUUGUUUAUAAGCUAUGCAGUGGCAGAUAUCGAUAUUUUGCAAUUACUGUAUUUUAACGUCGUGUCUUAGAUGGUAAAGUUUCUUAAUUUGAAAAGAUAACACAUGUCAUUUUUGUACAUCAGCUUAACCUGAUUGUGUCGUGGUUAAUAUCAUAAUUACAAGUAUUUAACAAAAUGGAGAUUCUUUAAAAAUAUUUUUCUUUAUGUUUUGAUCUCCUUAUAGCUGUAGUUUUGUAUUUUUACUGUCUCCAUGCUCACCUGUAAAACGGAGGACAAAACUUUUUUUAUUUCUCUCAAUAAUUUAUCUGCCCUUCUCUUUGUUAUUUUAAAUUUAAACAUCUCUUCGGUUUGCCGCAAUUAUACAAUUCUGUCUAAAUAGUGGCAGACGUGCCUAAUUGGGACCCAGAUGGCCUGGAUCAUCAUCAAAUUAGAGCCAACAUAACAUUUUCAAGGUUUCUGCUUGGACAGGUUGAAGAAGAAGGAUUUGGUGUCAUUCAAUCAAAUCAUGGAUGGUCGGAUCUAGCAUCAUUCAAUUGAUAAAGGCCAAAUUAUUUGUUGACAUAAUGAAAGAGAAGAAUGUUAUUUCUUGCAAUAUGAUCUCAGGAUUGUUAGAAAAUGGUCAUGGUGAAGAAGCUCUAUGGCUUUUUGUACACCUGCUGCAAUCAUGUUUGAACAGGAGGGCAGGAUCUGUUGCCAAUGGCAUGUAGAGAGAAGGAGAAAAAGGGCAUAAUGCGGCCGACUUGGGCCAGACAUGGGUUGCGCAUGCACAUGUACACACACACACACACACAGAAGAACAUCUGUUCCGGCACAAGAUGAGCACCAAGGAUGUGGUGCUGGAUGGAGGGUGAAGCAGUGGUGCUGGAGCGAGUGAGCAGGUGUCCUAACUUGUGAAGGAGAGGAGGAAACUGCUUUAGGAAUGAGGGGUCUCAGCGAAGCAAGGGAAGGUGGUAAAGAUGGAUGGGAAAUGAAGAGUGCAACGUUAAGCGCGUAGUCCGUAACCAUCUGAUUUGUUUAAAUCAGUGACCAUCUUUAGUGUUGAUGCUUUCUAUACUUGUUUUCCACGUAGAGUGCACCCAGUUUUACCAAUAGUUUUUCAUUUCUUCAAAAUCUUAUUGGGGAAGUGAUUAAUGGAAUUCUGAGAAACCAAGCCUUGGAUCAUUAACUAUGGUGUAAGAGCAAACUUCUUUAAAUCUUAACGGAUCGCACCUUUCAAUGCGCA